CGUGUUCCUCCUUAGUCCUUCCUCUCGUCUCGAUCAGCUGCGAUCUUCCUCGUGUCUCUGGCGUCUUCUUCAGUCGUCUGUUUUAUUUCCCGGAGUCGUGAGAAUAUAUAAUUCAAGAUGAGGGUAGAAGCUGUUGGAGCGUCUGUUAGGACGUGGUCUGCGGACGACAGGGAACCUUCUCUAAAGGGGAGGGUACGUAGCUGAUCCGCGACAGUAGUGUGACGACGGCGUCAGUCGCCUGUGCUUGGGAUUCAUCCAUCAGGAGAUGACGGCUGGUCACCAAGUGUUAGGUGGGUACCGACAGUGAUGCAUCAGCGUGUCAUAACACGAGACGAUACGUUAGAGACGGUGAGGUACACAUUAUAUGAAGAGGAGAAUGAAUGGUUUUCGUAACAUCUUAGACUAGAGAAGAUUUGAAGUAUCAUCUGUAGCAGUCUCCAGACAAUAUAAGGAGUGUCUUGACUAUAAACACGUCCAGUACGUGUUCUAAGUGUCUGCUGAUAUCAAAGAACCCCUUGUGAUGUACGUCUACAAACAGAAUCCAUUUUAAUUUAUUUAAAACAACUUUAUAUUUGCACAACAUGACUCGCAGCAGCAUUGAAGUUAGUGACGUCGAGAGGUAUGAGAGUCGUUCAGUGAACUAUAAGAGCGUGGACGAGAUAGUCUGCUUUACUAGUUGUUUGUUUAAAACCAAGUCAUUUAAUGAAGAGUUCAAAGUAUAUAUGUUUGAAAUCUAUACAUUUGUAUCAAGCUCCGCUACAGGAACAUGUCCCUCAAUCAAAGCACUCGUUGUUUCACUUCCUUCUUACGUUUUCACCACAUGGUCUGUCCAUUAAUCAUUAAAUAAUUCUUAGUUGCCAAAGAAAAUUAAAUAAAGAAGAUUGUAAAACAAGUAAAUAAAUGAUAUCCAAAGUCUUUGUGGACGCCGCCACGUGUUAAGAGUGAUUAUUCCGGAACAAUUAAUAUUAUAAAAUAAUGAUGUUUUAAUAAACAAAA